AUGUUGCCGGCGAUCCAAUCCACCGCCAGGCCCUCUGGGGUGGCCAACCCGUACUGGAUCACCACCUCGAAGCUGGUCAGAGCUGUGGGGUGCAGAGCAGCGGGGCUGAGGCCGGCUGCCCCCCCAUACACCCAUCCCACCCUCAUCCUGAACGGGUCCCCCCGGCUCAAUGGGGACAGGUGGUGGGGACACAUCUGAGAUUUACGCCCUCCUACAGCCGGCCCCGAACCCCAGGGGAUGCAGCCCCACAUCUGCGGUCCUUCCUGCCCCUCUGCAGCACCACAGGCAUCAGAAAGCACAACCGAGUCGGGGCCCCAGGCUUUGUGCUCCCAGCUGCUGGGCUGCAAUUACUAUUAGAGAAGCACUGGGAACACUAAUUAACUCCUACAUAACGAGCAGCUUUGGAGAGCAGAAGGGAUGAUCCAGAUCACCAGAGCUGUGGCGCUGCACCGAAGCCCUUCAUUCCCAGGGCCCUAUCCCGACCCCUGCAGCACCCCGGGACUACACACCCCCAUUCUCCAGCAGUUUGCCCCUGUAGAUCUUGUCCUCCACCACAUCAGUCCAGUACAGAGAGCUCUGGUUGAGGUGGAAGUCCAAGGCGAUGGUGUUGCGCAGCCCGGGCACCAGGACGCUGUAAUCCCCGCGGUGCAGAUCGAUACGACGGAUCUCGUGGCGGUUGGAGAAGAUGAUGAACGGUUUGAAAGGGUCUGGGGAACACAGGGAGAGCUCAGAAGAGGAUGGGGACACAGCAGAGGGACCGACAGACCUCAGUGGGGGACAGCUCUGCCUCACGUCCCCCCUGUCCCACAGCAGCCAGCAGACUCUCGGCGCUGCCGACAAAGCAGGAGCCCAAAGUCUCAGAGCCCUUCCAUCCCCCCAGGUCCUGCUCGGUGCUGUAGGAUCAAUGCCACCCAGAGGAGGCAAAGCCACGAGACCCUCACACCCCCCCCGGCACCCACCGAGGCUGCGACAGCUCUCGCCAUCGGGCUCCAGCAUCCAGCCCUCAUAGCACGAGCACUUGACGUUGUACUUGUCCUGCUCGCACUUCUGGCUGCACUUGAGGUGCUUGGCGCAGUAGCUCUGGAUCUGGCAGGUCUUGUUGUCAGCUCCCAGCUCCAUGCCCAGGGGACAGGAGCACACGAUGCCCUCCCCAGGGGCCACGGUGCAGUUGUGGCUGCAGCCACCGUUGUUCAGAGAGCACUGAUCUGCAGGGAGGGGAGGGGAUGCGCAAGUCAGCUUCAUCCCUGCGCAUGUCACCUCCAUCCCUGCACACAGCCGGGUCACCCCAUGCCCAGCACCCAACUCACCGCACAGCUCGCCCUCGUCGGAGCCGUCCCCGCAGUCAUCGGAUCCAUCCCCGCAGUCAUCAUCCAGGUCACACGUCCAAGAGAUGGGGAUGCAGCGCCCGCUGGCGCAGGAGAACUGGUUGGGGGAGCAGGUCCGGGCUGGGCAGGUCAGACAGACAGAUAGACAGACAGAGCACCAUCAGCCAGCAGCACCCAGGGAGAAGAGCCCCCCCCAGGCCCCAAAGCUCCCCCCACGAGCUCCUCACCCGAGCAGGUGGAGUUGGACUCGUCCUCGUUGUUCCCGCAGUCGUUAUCACCAUCCGCACAGCCAGCGGUUGGGNNNNNNNNNNNNNNNNNNNNCCAGUGGAAGGAGCCCCAGCUGCCACCGGUGGUGAUGGGGAUUUGAUUCUGACGAUGCCGUGGCAGAGCACCCCACCACCUCACCCUGCGCCCGGUAACGUGGCUGCCAGGCUCACUGACAGCACUGCACAGCUCUGCUCUGCUGAUGUCUGCUCAGCUUCUCUGCCUCCCCUGUAUGGGGAUCCUCAGCAUGAGGGGGGUGGGCAGCAUUGGGGGCUACGCCCUCACUUGCGCAGCGCAGGAGACCCUCCCUGACCUCUAGCAUGAGCUUCCCCACAGACUGCAUAUGGGGAGCACUGCACCAAGCCGUGAGAGCCACUGCUGCAGCAUCUGGAGAGAGCCAGCCUGAGGGGGCUGCGGCACUCCGGGUGUGGGGGCAGGAUUUGGGGGUUGUGUGGGGGCCAGGGGAGGGGCCGGUGCAUGUUGAUCUAUGCACUAACCGGUAGGUUUUGGACAGUUCUUUUCGUCAGAGCCAUCCCCACAAUCUUUUUCUGAAACACAGAACCAACCAAGACAGGAGGGUGGGCACAAUGACAAACACAACGCCACGCCACGGCACACGCACAAACAGCAGCACAAGGAUGGACACACUGACAGGGACACACAGACACACUGAGCUGAGGGAGGGGAGAUCAGAAGCGGUGGAGGUGUUGGGGCCAGGGGGGUCCUGCUGUCACUGCAGCCCCCUGCCCUUGGCUGCACCUGGGUGGGGGGAGACAGGAAACCCACAGCCCCUCGGCGGAGCAGC
ensembl:lncRNA